GCUAGGCGUGGUGGCGCACACCUCUAGUUCCAGCUACUCAGGAGGCUGAGGCAGGAGAAUCACUUGAGCCCAGGAGUUUGGGGCUGCAGUGAACCAUGUUUCUGCCACUGCACUCCAGCCUGGGCAACAAAGCAAGACCCUGUCUCAA
ensembl:misc_RNA Metazoa_SRP Metazoan signal recognition particle RNA